GUACAAUCCAUUAUUGAGCACUACACCCUAGAAGCGUGUUUCUAAUUGUGAAGCAACGUUUGGAGAUAAGAAACAAAUUUUAAAUUCCUGCAGAGUUUGCGGAUGAUCCUGAACUUUAUGUGCUAAAAGCCAAUAAAAUAUGUGGGAGUUGAAGCAUGGCAGGUAGAAGCUGGUUCAAUUUAUGACUACAUUUUGAUUUGUGAUGACCCAGAGUAUGCAAAACAAGUAGUAGAAGAGUUAUCUGCGAAUAGGGAGAUGAGCUAUUGCUUGAGAGUUUUGUCGUCUCUUACCUCAAAGAAAAUGCUUAACCUGCAUCAUUUUUAUUAUGCUUGAAAUUUCAGAUUGAAAAAGAAGCCUUAGAGGAAGCAGAGAGAGAGAAGGGCUAGGGUAGAGGGGUUAUUAAAAACAAUGCUUAAAUGCUUUUGUCUCGUUGUAGUUUCACUGAGCAAUGCUCUUUUGAAUGUUCAGUUAUUGACCAUGUAAUUGAAUGAUUGUAUAAGAAGCUAAUAGAGCAAGAGAGGAUGGUGAACGGAGAAAGAGGGAGAGGGAUCGUCGGUAUGGAGAUAGAA